AACAGUUCUUUCGCACAUCCAGUCAUAGUGUAAAUUUAGCAUAUUGAUAUCAAUAUUCUACAAUAACAAUUAUCUCUCCGGUCGUGUCAAGAAUCCAGGAAAAAUGAAAGAUGAACUUCUUUUCUGGAAUGGCACUCGUCAACAUGUGCUUCCCAGAAUAAAUCGAACCAAUCGAAAAGCUCCUACCUGGAACGCUGCCACACGCACGGCCCCAUUAAAGAAGGCCUGAACCAGCCCAGGAACAGAACAGAGGGGCUCAGCCUCGCACCUGCCGAUGCUACCAAUGAGUCGAUAAACUGGAACGCCAGUCUGCCCAGACUGAACAUUCAAGUCAACAUUACAGUAAUAACAUUCCAGGAAGAAGAAACCCCCGUUAUGAUCCACCCCCAAAUCUUAAGAAAAGAGAUACAGACAUUGAGACCUUACCUGGCCUGUGUUCUCUUCAGCCUGUGUGGUGAAAACCAAAUCAAUUCAUUACUAUCACAUAGGAAACGUAUCUUGAUUUCCAACUUUUAAUAUAAAAUUGUUGAAUGUAAAAUCAUUUUUGAAUUUGUUUAAUUUUGCAUAACCUGUAGUGCUACUGUCAUGGUGGAUGUGAAUAAUGUGAAUCUACGCAGCUAUUCGCAGAGUAUAAGUAGAACUGGCAGUGCAUGCUCUGGUAAAGCAAGAGGACUGACUGUAGGCCAGCGAAGGCCACCACAGUUAAUUGAGCAUUCAACUGCAAGUGAACUGUUUGUGUAGGUACAUGUGACAGGACUUUUAAUACAUCGCAUUCACACAGCUGUUUG